rfam:Pteropus alecto contig95519, whole genome shotgun sequence.
UUUUUAGUAUAAGUAUGUUCCAUACAAUACUUGGCAUAUACUUAUAUUAAAA